rnacentral:lncRNA from 1 species
CAAUACUAUUACAAUACUUAAUGACUGAAAAAUCAUAAUGAAAAAACUCCAAUCUCUCUAAAUCUUCCCCCAAGUUGUCAAAACAUUUAAGGCCAUCCCUUUCACAUCAGCACUUUUAUAAAGGGUUGUAAACAUCUUAUAGAUUAAAAUCUAAUAGAGAAAAUAUAUCACAACCAAACACUGCUACAUUCAGCCAACUGCAAUUAAUAACACACAGCAAUAACCUUUCUUGAUUUGAGUACAAUAAAACAAAUCAUUAUAGUUAAUUUUUUGAGGAAAUGACUUAUUUCCUUAUAGGCUUAUCCAU